rnacentral:tRNA from 1 species
GCAGCGACGUCCGAGUGGUUAAGGCGUUAGACUUAAGUUCCAAUAAACAGACGUCCGCGUGGGUUCAAACCCCACUUGCUACA